CGGAGGCAGAGGAUGGCUGAGGUUGGAAAGCGCCUCCGGAGGUCAUGGAAUCCGCCCUCCUGCUCCCCUAGAGCGCGCUGUCCGGCACUGUGUCCAGGGAAGGAGAUUCCGUGGCCCUCUGCCGUCCGCCCCACACUGAGGCCUGAAAGAUUCCCCUUCCCAAGUGGCGCUGCGCGCACACUUCUGCUUUGCGUCCUUCCAGUCAAAGCUGUGUGACCCCCUGGGCUGCCUGUGACGGCCCGCUGCUCGGCGUCCCCCAGCCUUCCACCGAUGGCCAAAAGGCUCGAGAAAGCAGGAGCGUGCCCUGCCUGGGAGGAAGCACCAGAUAUUGAGAAUGAAAAGAACGUGAAGCAUUCAGCUUUCCGAAGCAUUCAGCUCUGUGAAUAUACAUGAAUUAACCAGCACAGUGCAGGUAUAAUGGAAGGGCUUCCUGGUCAUUCUGGAGCAUCAGCAGCUGUACCUGGAUAUGAAUUGCACUGUGAUACAGAUAAGUUUUGCAUUAAUACUUUCCAUUUUUCAAUGUGUAAUGUUUUCAUAUUCAUACAAGUGAAGGGUUUAUGUUUUUGCUUGGUAUGUGCAACAGACACAUAUAACAGUUGCCUUAAAAAGCUGUUGUUUGUCAAGAAAAAUUAGUUGAUCCGUUGAUCUGAAGUCACUCAUCUUGUUGAACCCAUUGCAAAGGGGCUCAGACUGAGGAAGCAGCUUCUGCCUCUUGCUCUACUGUUAGACUUGCUAGGUAAUUCUGGACACAUUGCUUAACCUUCCCAAAUCUGAGUUUAAUGAGCUGGAUAUGUACCACGCCAUAUGAUGCUUAUGCUCACGAAUAAAGCACUUGAGCUCUGUGAAUGAGAAGUGUUUCAGUUUGAGUUCUAAUCCUCCGUUCAUCAGUUGACAGAAUGCUUCCACUGCGCUUCCUUAUGUAGCGAGGUGUUCUCUGCUCUGAGAUAAACUUGCCUUUAUUUAGGAGACCUGAAGGAAAAACGAACAAACAAACAAAUGAUGCAUUUGCUAAUUUUUCUGAGAUUAAACAUUCAGUAGAACUCAACAAAUAUGUUUACUAGUUUAAUUGGAUUACAUUAAUUUACAUCCCCACAGCUUUUAUUACAUAAGCCCUUUUCUACCAGGGAUUUAGUCUAUUAGUUAAGGAAACCCGAGGGAUUAAUCUGAUAGCUGCAGUCAGAAAUUACAGUGUAAUUAAAGUCACCCAGGAAACAGUGAUACUGAAGUCUGCCAAUCCCUGCAAAACAAACUUGUCAAUUUGCUGCAUCUAGGAUAGCAUAUAAGGUGACACAUUAAAGGGGCACAAGUUCUGCACCAGAAAUAGGCCUGUUAAGGAGGAACUUGUGUACUGCGCAGUGUAGCCAUCGCUGUUCUUACUACCAACUACUGCUGUCUGUUUUUGAAUAGACUUUAAAGGUUUUGGUGUUUUAUUAAAGGUCAUGUACAGUGUGGGAGAGGAAGUAUAACACGGCUUGCACGGAAGUCUAUUUUAAAGCUUACUUUACUAAUUUAGUUGGACCGAGAUGUUACUUCAUGUCCAAAAGAAGAUAGAAAAUGCAAUGGCUGUAAAGAAGAAAGUUGCAGAGCACUGGAGCAGCCUUGUUAGUAGCAGGGAGAGACGUUUUGUCAUGGUCUGUACUUGUCAGUGUCAUUUGCUGCAAGCAGGGUAAUGGAGAGCAUGCAUCGGUGCAUGAGUGGAGGAGGAGAUCUGUUGUCUUCAUGAAUGGCAUCAAGGAACAGCACAGCAUUCCAGAAAUUCUGCAGAGUGUCAGUACUUGUGAUGUGUUUGAGCCAUUCUAAUAGCAUAAUAUACGCAGGAGAGAUUUAAUUUCACUAUAUCCAAAAUACACAGCAUUUGGUAUUUCUUUUUUUCUAUUAGACAUAAGUCUAAUGAUGCAUAUUCUAGUUAUUGCACCUUGCUUUCAAGGUUGUAAAGAAAUAAGCAACAAGAAGAAAAUAACGUAUGUAUUUUUUCUGUUGUCAGAGUAGACUUGUAUAUAUACUUCACAGCUUUGUCUUCUUGCUCUAAGUUGUAAAGUAACCUUCACAUAACACUGUGUAAAUGGAAAAGUUCUCUGCCAGAAAGCUAAAGCCCAAUAUCUGUUGCUUGCAAAGCCACAGAGGGAACUACCCAUUGUUUCCUAGGAGGAGAUGGUGCAGCGACUUGCUGUGGCUUUAGCAAGAGAGCAAGGCUUUGUGAUAGAAGGAGAAUAUCAAGGUCUCAGACUGGAUAAUGAUGCAGAAAUGCACACUGACAGCGGUCCCAAUAGCCGGGCUCAUGGAAAGAAAGUCUCAGAUGUGAAUGAAGGAUGUGAGGCUGCAGCCAAAUUGAUUAGAAGCAAAGAACUCUCAGACAUCUGAAGUGUGCAAAGCAUAAAGCUGUCCUCUAAUUUCCCAGUUUUGGCAGUUUUGUUGCCACUUGAAGGUAAAGCUGGUAUUAAUCACUGGGGGGAAAAUGCAACCCUGCUCUCUUUGAUCUUUCCUCCUUUAAUCAACAGUUUCUAAG
ensembl:lncRNA